GUAGUGGUGGUUCAGUGGUAGAAUUCUCCCCUUUUUAUGCUGCAGAUCCUGGUUCUAUUCCUGGCCAAUGCA
rnacentral:tRNA from 1 species